AAGUCGUAACAAGGUUUCCGUAGGUGAACCUGCGGAAGGAUCAUCAUCGAAUUCAUAUCCCCCUCCUCUUCCGGAGGGGGACCCAUGAUAAACCCUUCUGUGCACCGUAAACCGUUCACUUUGGCAGGCUUUGGUGGUGAGCGCCAACCUCGCGUUCCCCCCCUAAGGGGCGUUACGCGUGGCGGCCUGCCGGAGUCCUCACAUUAAAAACACGUUUUCGAACACGUCUGAAAAUUUCCUUUGAGAAAUCAAAGAACCGAAAACAACUUUCAACAACGGAUCUCUUGGCUCUC
rnacentral:misc_RNA from 1 species